GACGAACGCUGGCGGCGUGCUUAACACAUGCAAGUCGAACGGAAAGGCCCUGCUUUUGUGGGGUGCUCGAGUGGCGAACGGGUGAGUAACACGUGAGUAACCUGCCCUUGACUUUGGGAUAACUUCAGGCAACUUGGGCUAAUACCGGAUAGGAGCUCCUGCUGCAUGGUGGGGGUUGGAAAGUUUCGGCGGUUGGGGAUGGACUCGCGGCUUAUCAGCUUGUUGGUGGGGUAGUGGCUUACCACGGCAUUGACGGGUAGCCGGCCUGAGAGGGUGACAGGCCACAUUGGGACUGAGAUACGGCACAGACUACUACGGGAGGCAGCAGUGGGGAAUAUUGCACAAUGGGCGGAAGCAUGAUGCAGCAACGCCGCGUGCGGGAUGACGGCCUUCGGGUUGUAAACCGAUUUCGCCUGUGACGAAGCGUGAGUGACGGUAAUGGGUAAAGAAGCACCGGCUAACUACGUG
rnacentral:rRNA from 1 species